UCGAAUGAUCGAUACCGGUCGCCUCGAGAAACUUGAGAUCGUAUUCCACCACGGUCAGCUUUUCUCUGGAUCAAACCCUAACCCUCUGUCUCGCCGGGGGACUCCUCAUGGCAGUGAGGAGUUGGCCUUGGUUUUGGUGGAGGAUGGGAUCGGGAGGUCGUGAAUGGAGAAGGCCAGACGGUGGAUUUGAUCUAGUUGGGGGCUUGGUGGAGGAUCUCUUUGCUGAGGAGCUGAGGCAGAGAAUGGCUGGACCGACGAUGGAAGAGCAGCUUCCGGGCUUAAUGAACGGAUUGGAAGAGCAAUGGGGAAGCCGGAGGAGAAGGAUGACUCUGGAUGAUUCCGAGUUGGGCGAUCGCUUGCCAAAGGGAUGGAAACUGCUUCUUGGCCUCGAGGGGAAGGUGAAGUAUUGUCGGUGCUACAUCAGGUUUGCCUCCUUGCUUUUCCCUUCUUUGCUGGUUCACUGUUGAAAAAUGAAGGUGAAUGAUUUGAAUUGGUUGUUGCGGAACAUACUUAUCUUUGUUUAGAUCUAUUGUAACAUUAAGUUGCGAUGCCACUGGAUGAUGCCCUUAUCCAUCCCAUUUUGCAAGAAUAUCGCAUAUGCAUGCACAUAUUUGUAUGUUUGUUAAUGUGCUCGGUGCCAUUUUUCCUCGGAUGAUCUUUGUUUUGUGGCCUGAAUGAGGUUGUAGAGACAUGAACAAACUUGAAAAUGUUUGAACAUCUUCAUAGGGCGUAAGGGCAAUGAAGACUGGAAGAGACACUUUGAUAACUUGUGAUGUUCGCCCACAUGACAAAGUUGAAAAUUGAUCAUUGCAGCAGCUACAGUGUGGCAUGUUCUUAAUAUUGAUGACAAAUUUGCUGGGCUUGUUUGUGUACGAUGACCCAAAAAGCUGAUAUAUUUCAGAGGGUCGAAAAAUGGAUCAGCCCUUUCAACAUUAAAAGUGUCAAGUUCUUUUGUAGUUCCCUGUUCCGGGAAUUUGAUCGGUCUGAAAUUGGCCAAUACCCAUGGGAUCGACUUAGAUCAGUCCAUCUGUUUUACUUCCUUCUCUCUCUGACUCUGGUUUGCUAUCUGCUGUAUUAGCUGUUUGGGGAAUCAUAUUGUUCUGGAUUGGCCAAUACCCAUGGGGUCAACUUACAUCACUCCAUUUUUCUCCUCUCUCUUUUUGCCCCUGUUUUUCUAUCUUCUAUAUAUAAACAGAUGCAAAGGCGAUGAACCACUCAUCACACACAUCACGUUCAACACAAAGAAUUGGAAAAGAACAAAAACAGGAGAUGAGGAGAGGCAAAGAGGAACCCUAGCUAAAAAAAUGUAUCCUGUUUUAUGGACAAAAUGUAGACUCAAAGCAACACAGUAAAUUUUCUUUUUUCAGCAACACAGUAAAGUUAUAAUACUGAUUUUGAUUGAGUUUUCUUCACUUCCCUUCAUGUUCCUUAUGUCUGUGAAAUUUAGCAUUUUCUAUUGUGUUAAUUAAUUUGGAGAGGGGCCACACAGUGUCCUGCUAAAAGACUGUUUUUGCAGCAGUCAGUGGUGUUGAUUAGAAGCAGAAAAGAUAUCUGGUCUUGAUGAGCUGACAUUGGAUGUUUAAAUUUGUUCACUUGGAUGGUCAAGAUUCUCUGUGCCCAAGCCACCCAUUGGAUUGUGUUAUGUGAUAGAUCUAAGCAAUAGAGUUCAGCCAUGUAGCUGCUGAUACUGAAGAAGAAUCUGAUAUAUUUUGCUUCAUUUAUCCUGCAUGCACAUCUCAAGGUACUAAGCAAUAAAUCAUCUCAUUAAAUACUGACUUGCCUCAUGUUCAUGCAAGUUUUUUGAAAAAAUUGUCUUUUAACUAACCACUGUUGAUGGAUUAUGUUUCCAGAAGCACUGUCCUCGUAAGUUCUUGACUGAUAUUUUCUUGUGCAAGUUCCCUGUCCAUUUUUUUUAAUGAUUAUGGUCAGCAAUCCAACAUGGGUAACCAUAUUAUAAUGUAUUUGUGCUCCAUGAUGAAAGUGUAUUAAUUGAGUAUUUAGUUUGUUAGUUAUUCAUUUAAAAAUAGCUAAAGCCAAAAUUUGUCCUGAAUUGGGUCCGGUUUUAUGCCGGUUGAUAUUACAGGAUCAGUUGCUCAUUGUUUCUCCUUUAUUGUGCAGUGGUGCAACUCUUACAAAGGAGUACUCAUGUGGUCUGUAAUAGUAAUAGUUCUUCAAUCUGGAUGAAACCUUUGUUGUCUGUUUUUCAUGGACGUGCCAGUGAGAUAAAUAUAAUGAGAAGUAUUUUAUCUACUGUAUUAUAUCUCAGGCUUUAGCUAAGAAACUUGAACAUGUUGUUGACCUUCUUGUUUCUCAACAACUAAAGAUAUAGAUAACUUUAUUAUUUGCUUGUGAUGUAAUGUUAUGGGAUCUUUUGUAUCUGUUGGGUAACCAUGUUUAUCAAAUAACCAUGGUACUUCCCUUAGGCACACUUUUGAUUGCACUAUUCAAGAGAUCUGAAUUAUUUUCAUGUGUAUAUUAACUACCGAAUAUUUAUGAUCGGCUGUGUUAUUAUAUAUUUUUGCCUUAAUUUCCUUCUUUUCAAUCUUAGUUCGAUCAUGAUGUCUGCUUCCAUAAUUUUGUUUUGCGAGGAUCCAUAAGCUAUUUGAUGAAAGUUCAUUUCUCUGAUUCUCUUUUUUUUGUCCUCUGAUUUACCCAUGUGCCUCCAUAAUCCCAGAUAAUCUUGAUCAAAUUUUUAUCUGAUUCAUGGGAGGCCAAUACCAAUGAUGGGAGUUUUGCUGAUAGCACUUUUUUAUACAUGGAGGUGUCUCAUUAGUUGCUCACUACACAUUGUCACUUCUCUCUUUUCGUUUCAUGUUUAUGUUGACAAUUUCUUCCAAAAAAUAUGUUUAUCUUCUGUUUUAUGCUUAUUUCAUUUUUCUGCGAAUUCUCAUAUUUGAUACAUCAAAUAUCAGCCCUUAACUUCUGUCUUUGUGUGAGUUGAUUCUUGUGGCACUGAGUUUACAUAUUAUAGGUUAAUAUGGUUUAUUAGUCGCUUCAGACAUUCCUUUGUCUUUCUGUAAAUGAGUUUUUGUUGAGAACUUUCAUUAUAAACCUAGACUGUAUCAUUUUGGGUUAUGGUUCUCUGUUUCUCUUCAUGCCUUGAGAACUUGAGAAAGAUUAUAAUCAGUUUCCCUGUGGACAAUAAUUUUGCUGGUGUUUUGUUGUAUCCUGUGUUGUCCAAGAGUAUAGGAAAUUAUAGUUUGCACAAUUUGGAAGUGAAGCUUCUUUCACCUGAACUAUGUAGUUUAAGCAGCAUGCAUAGGGUCAUCAAUUUUGGUCUCUAGCUCACAUGUUACUUCUUCCACUGGGCUAAUUUGACAUUGGAACUAACAAGAUGUCAUAAUGCAUAUGUAUCUUGGUUUAUAAUUUUGUAGCUUUCUGCACACCAGAUUUGUCUAUGAUCUUAAAAGGACAUACUUCACUGCUACAUGUCUGACUCUGUAGGUCAUUCACUAGUAAUGGGCUCAAGAAAAUUUUUCACGGAAGUAACCAAUCCUGAGGAAGGCAUACAAAGAAAAUGGUAUGUUCUUGUGGCAAAGUUGCUAUAGAAAUUGCUUCAGCAAGGUAUGUAUCUGGCAGUCGAAAGGUGCUUCGUGCUGAGAUAUUUUUCCUUUUUUUUUUUUUCCUGAAAAUGCAUAUAUUUGAUAUCUGUAGAUCAGUUGAACAUGAUUUAUGAUGUUUAAGACAAUUAGAAAUAAAUAUUGCAUGUUUUUUACAUAUUAAAGUAAACAUUUUAAACUGUAUAAAGUAUAUUUUGAAUUGAUCAAUUUUGUUACAAGUUUUAAAAUAAGUUGCAUCAUUUCAUAUGUUCAUUCGACGACAACAACAAAGUUAUAAAGACCCAACUACAAAGAUGUAAAGAGUCAUAUCCUUAGUGGUGUUUAAAUGCUUGAUAGUUUGAUCAAUAUCAUUUAUUUUGAUGCUACAAUCAUGGUUCCUUAAGAAACAAUUUUAUGUAUAAAAGCUUUAUGAUGCUAUUCAUUCUCUGAUAGUUCCAUGAACAUACAAAACAUGUCUAAACUAUAUGAAUUUUUUUCAUUGAAUAUCUUGAAUCCUGAUCAUGCUUACAAUGUUCAUCUUCGGUUUAGACCCUUUUUGAUAUGUUAGGUGAUAAAAUUGACUGAAUGCUUAAUCCUUGUGACAGGAUUACAUCUCAAUUCUCUUUUCUAACUUUUGCAAGUGCUGAUCAAUUGUCACGAGAUGUUUUAUUUACUAAAUGUUUUUUCCUUCAAUUUUGCUGGAUGGUGAGGAGUAAGAAGAGAUUUAUCUAGCGAACAGAAAAAUCAUUUUAUGAAUUCAUUCAUCAAGUCUCAUAACUUGCAUGAAACAAAAUAUUCUGGAACACGACAGAUCUGGACCCCACAACCAAAUUUUGCAAUAAGGGCAAAAAGAGUGCAUACUAUAUUCUUCAUAGCAAUAAAAUGGAACAACCAGUAGUCAAAUUCCAUCUGAAAUGCUACAUAUUACAGGUAAGCUAUGAUACUAGGAAACAAUGUAACUUUAGAAUCGCCAUCAUCUAUAUGAAUAAGCUGCAUAUCGAUCCAACAUAGGAAUUUUAUUUUGAUGUAAAUCAUAAGUUCGUUCAUCCACAAAUGAGCAUAAUUUGUGGUCCUGGCUGACAAGUUGCUGUGGUGCCAAACUUCAACCACAAGCAUAUUUUUGUCCUGUGGAGACUGCUGUUGUCUGGCAAACAAUUUUCCUUGUAAAAAAAAAAUCCUGUUCCUAUAAAUUGUGUUGUUUCUUUCUGCCGCUUUGCAUAUUGUUCACAACCUCUUUUCAAAAAAAAAAAAAACCCUUGGCGACACCAUAUCUUACAUGACUGAAAUACUACAAUCCUGAUAUUGUUCCAUCAAAUUUGUUAAUUUCUUCACAGUUUGUUAAGCCUGACAUUAUUAUGGUUUUGCAGAAAGGUAGGUUUGGCAUGUCAGAUUUGCAGCUCCAGAAUGAUUUGGAACAAGUGAUUGUGAUUUUAACUGCAAGUAGAAAAGAUAAAUCUAAACAGGUUUGCCGAAAAGCUUAGAUUCAUCUAGACCUUACCUCUUAUUGCCAUCAAUAUGGUUUUGCAGAAAGGUAGGUUUGGCAUGUAAGGUCUGCAGCUACAAGAGGAUUUGGAUCAAGAAGUGAUUGUGAUUUUAACUGCAAGUAGAAAAGAUAAAUCUAAACAGGUUUGCUGAAAAGCAUAGAUUCAUCUUAGCCCUGAUCUCUAAUUGUCACUCACAUGGUUUUGCAGAAAGGUAGGUUUGGCAUGUCAGAUAUGCAGCUACAAGAGGCUUUGGAACAAGAAGUGAUUAUGGUUUGAACUGCAACUAGGAAAAGAUAAGUCUAAACAGUCUUGCUGAAAAGCUUAGAUUCAUCUAGACCUUAUCUCUUAUUGUCAUUGAGAUAACUAUGACAUCCACAUCCAGAUAGUGAGAUUUCAACUGAUACGUGUUCCAGAACGCACUGCUGAAUCAAAACUAGCUUUGUUCCUCUCAA